GUUGAAAAAGAUUGAAAGAGAAAGCAAGCGGUGAGAGUGAUGAAAUAGUAGAGGACCGUUAUUGGGCAUUUCUCUUCCUCCUUGCCUUUGCUUCGUACGCGAAGAAAAAGAUGAGAAACGCUCGAAAACAUUCAACGCAGUGGAUGAAAAAAGAAGAAACGAAAUGAAAAGAAAACGGGUUGGUCAGGCAAACGAAUCAUCGUCAACGGAACUCAUUCGUCACAUUUCUUUUUUCUUUUUUUUUUCGUUCAAUGGUCUUUGUUCCUUCGCAAUAGGAAAAACAAGAACAAAAUAAAAAUGAUUGUGAGAUAUUGGAUUGUAAUAUAUUCAAUAACGACCUGCUCUUAUAUCUAACGUACUUCGCGCUUUCGUCUUGACAAUAUAACAUUCGUUUCCGUUUUUUCUUUCAUUCAGAUUCGAGCUCUCCUCGCAAAAAAAAACGAAAUGAACACAUGUUAUUAUGUAUUAUGUAUAUUACUC